GCCUAGGUGGUGGAACUGGUAGACACGCAGGACUUAAAAUCCUGUUUCCGUUAAGGAAGUGCGGGUUCGAUUCCCGCCCUAGGUACAA
rnacentral:tRNA from 2 species